AAUGGCCACCUCUCCCUCCCCUGUUCUGGUCUGUGUACUCUGUUUUUGGGCUCACUGGCCAGAGCUCGCGGCCGUCCGGCUCGCGCGAGUUCCGGCCCGUGAUACCACAUGCUUGAUCCUGAUUGUCUAUGCAAUUGUAUGUGUGAAUUUCGGAUGCGUUUGAGUCUCAACCGAGUCGGAAAUCUCUUGUUUUCGCCGUGCACCCCAACUGUUCGAGGUUAUGCCCGAGUGAGAUCCAUGUGUUUUUUCUUCCU